CNGAAUCCCGCCUAGACGUAAUGAUACCGUAGCGCCGCGGAUCUUCGGUUGGUCCCGGAUAGCCGGCUUCGGUCGGUGAGUAGAGCCGUUCGUGACAGGGCUGGGGUGCGGCCGGAUGAUGGUCGCCCCUCUCCUAUCUCGCAUCGCAUGUUUGUGGAGAACCUGGUGCUAAAUCACUUGCAGACGACCUGAUUCUGGGUCAGGGUUUCGUACGUAGCAGAGCAGCUCCCUCGNUGCGAUCU
rnacentral:rRNA from 1 species